AUUGAACGCUGGCGGCAUGCCUUACACAUGCAAGUCGAACGGCAGCAUAGAGAGCUUGCUCUCUGAUGGCGAGUGGCGAACGGGUGAGUAAAGCAUCGGAACGUACCGUGUAGUGGGGGAUAACGUAGCGAAAGUUACGCUAAUACCGCAUACGCACUGAGGUGGAAAGCAGGGGAUCGCCAGACCUUGCGCUAUACGAGCGGCCGAUGUCAGAUUAGCUAGUUGGUAGGGUAAAGGCCUACCAAGGCGACGAUCGGUCGCGGGUCUGGGAGGAUGAUCCGCCACACUGGGACUGAGACAAGGCCAAGACUCCUACGGGAGGCAGCAGUGGGGAAUUUUGGACAAUGGGGGCAACCCUGAUCCAGCCAUGCCGCGUGAGUGAAGAAGGCCUUCGGGUUGUAAAGCUCUUUCGGCCGGGAAGAAAUCGCACAGGCUAAUACUCUGUGUGGAUGACGGUACCGGCAUAAGAAGCACCGGCUAACUACGUGCCAGCAGCCGCCGUAA
rnacentral:rRNA from 1 species